rnacentral:rRNA from 1 species
UACGGGGGGGGCAAGCGUUGUUCGGAAUUACUGGGCGUAAAGGGCUCGUAGGCGGCCAACUAAGUCAGACGUGAAAUCCCUCGGCUUAACCGGGGAACUGCGUCUGAUACUGGAUGGCUUGAGUUCGGGAGAGGGAUGCGGAAUUCCAGGUGUAGCGGUGAAAUGCGUAGAUAUCUGGAGGAACACCGGUGGCGAAGGCGGCAUCCUGGACCGAAACUGACGCUGAUGAGCGAAAGCCAGGGGAGCAAACGGG